rnacentral:rRNA from 1 species
GAGCUUGCUCUGGUGGCGAGUGGCGAACGGGUGAGUAAUAUAUCGGAACGUACCCUGGAGUGGGGGAUAACGUAGCGAAAGUUACGCUAAUACCGCAUACGAUCUAAGGAUGAAAGUGGGGGAUCGCAAGACCUCAUGCUCGUGGAGCGGCCGAUAUCUGAUUAGCUAGUUGGUAGGGUAAAAGCCUACCAAGGCAUCGAUCAGUAGCUGGUCUGAGAGGACGACCAGCCACACUGGAACUGAGACACGGUCCAGACUCCUACGGGAGGCAGCAGUGGGGAAUUUUGGACAAUGGGCGCAAGCCUGAUCCAGCAAUGCCGCGUGAGUGAAGAAGGCCUUCGGGUUGUAAAGCUCUUUUGUCAGGGAAGAAACGGUGGGAGCUAAUAUCUCCUGCUAAUGACGGUACCUGAAGAAUAAGCACCGGCUAACUACGUGCCAGCAGCCGCGGUAAUACGUAGGGUGCAAGCGUUAAUCGGAAUUACUGGGCGUAAAGCGUGCGCAGGCGGUUUUGUAAGUCUGAUGUGAAAUCCCCGGGCCCAACCUGGGAAUUGCAUUGGAGACUGCAAGGCUAGAAUCUGGCAGAGGGGGGUAGAAUUCCACGUGUAGCAGUGAAAUGCGUAGAUAUGUGGAG